CCUACGGGAGGCAGCAGUGAGGAAUAUUGGUCAAUGGCCGGAAGGCUGAACCAGCCAUGCCGCGUGAAGGUCAGUGCCCUAUGGGCGUUAAACUUCUUUUGUGCGGGAGCAAUAAUGGUCACGUGUGGCCAGACGAGAGUACCGUACGAAUAAGCAUCGGCUAACUCCGUGCCAGCAGCCGCGGUAAUACGGGGGAUGCAAGCGUUAUCCGGAUUUAUUGGGUUUAUAGGGUGCGUAGGCUGGGAGGUAAGUCAGCGGUGAAAUGCCCCCGCUCAACGGGGUGAAGUGCCAUUGAUACUGCCUGGCUGGAAUGCGGAUGCGGUGGGAGGAAUGUGUGGUGUAGCGGUGAAAUGCAUAGAUAUCACACAGAACACCGAUUGCGAAGGCAUCUCACGAAUCCGCGAUUGACGCUGAUGCACGAAAGCGUGGGUAUCAAACAGGAUUAGAUACCCUUGUAGUC
rnacentral:rRNA from 1 species